rnacentral:rRNA from 1 species
UACAGAGGUGGCAAGCGUUGUUCGGAAUUACUGGGCGUAAAGGGCGCGUAGGCGGCCACGCACGUCCGUUGUGAAAUCGCCCGGCUCAACUGGGCGGGGUCAGCGGAUACGGUGUGGCUAGAGCAAGCUAGGGGGCAAUGGAAUUCCCGGUGUAGUGGUGGAAUGCGUAGAUAUCGGGAGGAACACCAGUGGCGAAGGCGGUUGCCUGGAGCUUUGCUGACGCUGAUGCGCGAAAGCGUGGGGAGCGAUCCGG